CUCUCUCGGAAAGCAGAGGAAAAGGACAAGAUUCUGUGUUUGAGAGAGGGUGUGCCAUUCCCUCCGGGAGACUGGUGGAAAGAGGGGGUCAGGGCCUCCCAGAGCCAGGACGACACCUCGGAUGGCUCCGCAACCUUCAGGCUCAGAGCAGGGCCCAGCCUUGACGGCAGAAAGAGAAGAGCAGGAGCGUGCGCCCAGCCAAAAUGAUCGCGCCCUCAGUAGGGGCGGGGGGAUGCCGCGGCCGUGUCGAACAGGAGCAGCAACUUAAACAGCUGCUCCAAGCCACUCCCUGUUUUUAAACAGCAACAAUUUAAAGCUAUGAAGUCACGUGGAGAAAAGGAACGUUGCACUCGGACAGCAAGGAAACCAUUUCUCUCCAUGUGUCUGUUCCUUCCUCGGGCUCCCUUCUGCCUCUCCAAGACUGUUCCAUGGGACACCCGCUUCCCUCUGUGUCCUGGUUCUUGUGUGUCCAGCCAGACAGGCCAGGGGCAUGUGGAAGGGGGUGGGGUGCUCAGCAGCAGGAGCUAGGGCAGCCAUGUGUCCAGCCUCUGUCUGUCCUUGUGCUCAAGGCUGUGCUGACUGGCUGCAACCCAGGCUUUCACCACGCCGUGCCAGGACGUGCCUGCAGGCACCACGUGGUUUCUUUGGCUGCCUCCCCUACCCUCUGGGUCCCCACCAGCAAAAGCUCCUCCCACACUCCUGCCUCACCCAAGCAACAGCAGCCUCUGGCCCCGCUCCACUGCUUCACUCCAUCUGGCUCAGUGCUCCCCAGGGUCUUCCUGGGAGCUUGUGCGUCUGUUUUGUUUGAGGCCCAUCUCUGCCCCCCUAAACCACGUGGCCUGGGGUGAUGCUGGGUUGUCUGCUCACUUGGGUCCCGUCUAAGUCCUUUGCGCCCUUCCCUGCUGCUGCCCGGCACCCUGGCCUGCUCUCCCGUCCACAUCGGUGAUCUCUAUGGCAGUCUCUCUCCCCGUCUCCCCUUGGGUGGUCCCCAGCACUCCUCUGUGGAUUUUACCAGAAAGGUGGUCCCUGCUGUUGACUUCCAGCCAUUGUACCAGACGGCACAAGGUUUUCUGUAGGAAAGCUGCCAUUCCUCCCCACCCUUUUUUUUCCUUUGUCCUGCUGUCAAGUUUUUUGCGAACAGCGUGUUGUUCAGUAUGCAAAUCAAUUAUUUUAAUGAAUCGCUUUUGUAAAUAUCUUUGUGAAUAUUUUAGUAUCGUCUUUGAUAAUAUUCAACAUUUUCAUGACCUGGUUAUAGCCUUUGCUGGUGUUUUUAAAAUACCUUGACUCAACAACAAAGACCGAGUCCUUUUUUUUAAAAAACAAAAACAAAAAAAAGCAACCAGGGCUAUUUGUACAGAUGAAGGGACAAACUAUGGGUGGCUGUACUGGAAGUUGGAAGACCAGGCAUCUCACUGUGUAGAGCCGUCCCCCAGUCGGCUGGGGGGGACAAGACAAUGCCAGGUAGCAUGUGAGCUGUCCUCACACAGUGCCUGUUGCCUCGCAGGCGGCCACGCUCUGUGUCGGACCAUCUGGGAACGUUUAGCUCCAGACAGACUUACGAUGCCUUCCUUAGGAGUUCCUGCUUCCUGCCGUGAUAUUUUUCCCAGAAAGGCCUGGGAUCUACUGUGGUUCUUAUCAGGGAGUGCCCAGACUCUGCUCACAGGCUACCCACAGCUUUCUAAUGCAUGGGGUGUCGAUGCUCCCUGCGGCCCAGGAUCCUCCCCAGCCAUCUCUGGGCUCAGUACCUGAGGCUGGUUUCCUGGGUUCCCUCCCAAGCAAGCCUCCACCAGCAAGUUCAGCAAAGAGCUUUCUUUCCAGCUGGCCCUGAACCGUGGUGCCUGCAGCCCACACUCUGGGGACGUCCUUCUAGAGUGAUUUUGGAGCCAGGCCAGGGUGUGAGGGUGGUACAAAGGCAUCCAGGGCAGGAGCAAGCCCCACAUAGUGACAGAUGCACGUAAAGGCAAUAUCCUUAAGCAGGGACAGUCCUGAGCUCUGGAAAGAUAACUUCCCUGAUCCUUUUAGAUGAGUAUUUGGAGCCAUAAGUAACCUCAGCAAAAACAAGGCCUCCAAGCCACUUUUCCAUGACAAGCAUCCACCCAGCCCAUAGGCAUGUCUCUGCUGCCACUCCACAAGACGGACAGGGAGCCACCGGGCAGGUGGGAAGGGCAGGUACAGGCAAUCACCCCCAUCUUCUUGGUUUGAAGCUUUAUCCAUGUAUCAUGUUCCCUGUAGCCAUUUUAUUCUUUAAGAAACUUCUAAUACUUUCUCCCUGAUGGAAGCCCUAACCCUCCCACAGAGAGCUACAGGUCUGCCCCCGACGGGCCUCGGGCCCGACCCGUCCAGACAGGGUAGUGCCAGCAGCAGCAACUCAAGGGACGUGUGUACAUAUGUAAAUGAGGAAUAGAGACAUGUCAACAGAUGCAUUCAUUUCUCUCGGAAUGUGUAUUGUUUUUAUUUUAUGAAACAAGACAAAAAAAAAAGGCUUGGAACUCCAUCUUACGUGGAAAAACUAGAUUCUGUUUGUUAGCGUUUGUGAGUUCCCCACGUUUGUCUCUCUCAUGUAAUAUACUCUGACCCUGUGUGGAAAGGAAUUUUUGUUCUGUUUUGUUUUUAUUUUACCUACAUGUACUAUUUAGCUUCAGUGUACUAGUCCUGCCACCUGUGUAUUUUUAGGGUGCUAUGGAAAUAAUGAAAAGAAAUGGGGAUUUCAGAAGAAAAUUGUAACCAAAUUCAUACUUUGUAUAAUUUUUGAUAUCAUGAUCGCAGGUGAUCCACACGUACACACGUACACACACCCACGUGCAGCCUGAGUAACCCACGGAAACCGUCAUCGUCUUUGUACAUCGUACGUACAAUGCAAUCAUUUCAUACUUUCAACUGGUCAGAAAACUCAUUGUGAUUUCUAGUCUUGCAAAGCUGUAUGUAGUUAGAUGAUGUGACAACCUCUAAUAUUUAUCUAAUAAAUAUGUAUUCAGAUGAAACCUGUAUAUUAGGUGUUCAUGUGGUUAUUUUGUAUUUAAAGAUCAAAUUAUUUGACUAUUGCUAGACAUUUCUAUACUCUGUUGUAACACUGAGGUAUCUCAUUUGCCCAUGUUAAUUUUUUUCUAAAUAAAUUGACAAAAACGAA